rnacentral:lncRNA from 1 species
AUCAUUUUUUCCGAACAAAGGGUAGAAAGUAACUUUAAAUAGCAACAUGCAUAUGUUAUUAGUUUAAAUUACUGUCUUCAUAAUGCCUUCAAACUUAUAUAUGGAGUCCUGCAUUGUGUCAUUAAUUAUGUUGUAAACUCAUCUUAUUUUUUUUUUACGAAACAGCCACAACGACCUAUUAUUUAUUGCCACCGAAGGUCGGAGAGAAUCCAACCGGAAGGUUACAUGUAGGAAAGAGAAACACCAGAGCUUGGAGGCAGGAACAGAGGAAAUAAAGGAAAAAGAUUAAAGCACAUCAUCGGGUCCUGAAACAAGAGCAACUAGACCUAUUAGCACUAGUUGCGCCUCAACAUCUUCAAAAAAGACAAUCUUCCGGGCAGCAGUAGAACCCUUGCAAUUGGAACAACGAUUCCCAUUCCGCGGCGACUUAUAACGAUCAUUUGCUGGCCCCUUUCCAUCAGCGCCUCUUUUAAGCAUUUCAACAAAAUAAUGCCGACCACGUGCUGCAGCUGCAUGAGGCAUCCGCUCAAAAAAGGAGCAUUUCAUACUAAACAUCAAAGUGUAACCAGGAACAACCGGGCAAAGAACGCCGGACUUCAAGAUCCUAACACGCAAAGGGAUGCAAUGUAUAUCAAAUGGGUGUCUCCUCACCAACCGCCUCGAGCUCCGCAGCUGUGAAAUCCAAAGCUGCAAGGUCGAUCUGAGCCUUUCCACGAAGGCCAGUCAGGACGCUCAACGCUUCGAUCACCUUCGGCGUGAGCGGCUUCUUGUACAUCUCCAAGUAGGUGGCCAUCUUAUUCUUUGCCUCAUGAUCUCCUUUCGCCUCCUUAUCACCCACCUCUGAAACCUCCCCAAAGGCUUCCAUCAACCUAUGCUCAGCGCGCUUGGCAAUAGGGAUGUUGCAUUUCUUGUUCUUCUGAACCAGGCGGCCACUACGGCGAGGGGUGCUGUCCACGCGCACCUGCGCUGGCAUCGGGGUCCCAAGCAAGGAGGGAGGCCUGACACAGGUGACCUUGCUGAUCAACUCUUCCACAGUGAUUGGUGGCACCUCCUCUUGCACAACAUUAGUCUCAAUGUGCAUCCCUCUUUCUUGGGGAUCUACUCCUGCACAACCUUCUCCAACGGCCUUCAUCAUGCGCCUUGCAUCGAAGGAGAUGGCCUUCUUGGGUGUUGGCGUCUUCUCAUGGACAAAUAGAGGCUGAGGCAGGUAUGGUUCAGCAAGCACACUUGCCACCUCCUCCAUGGGCUGAGACACAACCUCACAGCAAAUCAGAGCUUCAACAACCAUUGGGUCCUCCCCCAAGCAGUCCCCGCAGCAUUGCAGGCUACCAAUCAAGGGAGACACCAUGUCCAGCACUUCCGAAAAGCAAGCAGGCUUAGCAAGGGGAAUGGAAGCUUCAGUAACCAUUGGAUCUUGCCAAGGAGGGUCGUUGCGGUUGUCGAAGAGAAGCAGACAAGUUGGCAUACAAUCGACAAUAGGGUCAUGGAAAACAGCAGCUUCGCGCAUGGCCGAGCACAACAGAGGUUUGGUGGCGAGCUCACCAGAUAUCCUUGCAACCGGGGCAUGGAGAGCAUGAGGCUGCUGUCGAGGGCUAUGACGGGUGGGGCAAGAACUGGCAAUAUGACCAUUCUUCCUGCAGUUGAGGCAUCUCACAGGGUAUCUGCACUGGGCCACGCGAUGAUCAGACGCAAGACACCGCAAACAUUUGUUCCAGAAAGUCUUCCGGUAACGCUCGACGGCAGCCUGCGAAGGAGGUGGUCGCUGCACGGCAACAACAGGAGCAGAGACCAGACGCCCAGACUUCAACUCUCUCCACCAACCCUUGGGUUUGACAACCUCCCACGGAGACCCCCCUUGGUUAACAGCAGACUUGGAGGGAGGGGCCGACAGCGAAGGGUCUCCAGCAGCAGGGCCAUCCACCGGUCUUCCUGCGAGGCCCACCGCCGAGGGGGCGUGACGUGCGCAAGCAGAACCGGCUGGGAGAUGGAAACCGUCAUGGCAGACAGAGCAGCGUCCACUGUCCGCGGACCCGAUUCAGGCAUGGGGGCGGCGCAAAGUACCUGGGGCGUCGCUAAUGAGGAAGCUCGGGGCAGCACAGCCACAGGGGACGGCAGGUCGACCUCAUCCUCUGCAGAAAGGGGUGGAUCUUCGUCGCCGAAGGAGCCCCAAUCGAGUUUCUCGGGAGAAUCCUCAUCUGGAUCUGAAAAUUCGCAAGGGCUAGAGGAGCAGCGAAUGGAGGGAGAUGGAGAGGCUGCUGUGGGUGAGGAGGCCAUAUGGCAUGGCUGGGAGGUGGAGGCGUGAGGGCGUGGGGAGGCGGAGGCGUGGGUGCUUGGGGAGACGGAGCUACGCGGUGGCCGCGGCCGCCGCCGCGGAGUUGCCAGACGCGUCGCAGGGGCUCAUAGCAGCGGACACUCGUCUUAUCUUGAUGUGUAAUGGCAGUGUUUGGUUGGGGAAAUCAAGUGGAACGAAGUGGAAUGGUUCCAGUUUUGAAGGUGGUUUCAGCGUUUGGUUGAAAGAACGGAGAAAAUUGGCAUGGAACGAAAUGGUUCCACGGUUGGGAAUAUACCCCUCAGAUUCGGAACGAACCGAUUCCUAAAAAAACAAGGAAUCAUCUCGUUCCACCUCUCUCGCGCGAAAGAUUGGACUCCUGGCCCUCUCUCUUUCUAUUCUCACCCGGCGCUCUCUCUCCCAUGGCGGCUGCCCCUACUUCCACCCCCCACAGAUUUGGGCGCCACACAACCUCCGGACUCCCUCAUCGGCCAAAUCUGGUCCAAGCCUACGGCGGUGGAGGAGGGAGACGACGUGGAAGCAGUUUCGGUCGGCGGCGACGGAGGAAGGUCGUGAAGGGGAGAGGAGGCCGGCAACUUGGAGGAGAACGACGAGGUCUACCCGGUGGAGUGCGUGACCGCAUUCAAGACGGGCGAGGAGUUCACCUACUUCCUGGAGCGGUCAAGGGCGACGGGCACGCUGUUGGUGGUGGACUUCUUCCGGUCAUCAUGUGGCAGCUGCAACUACGUCGAGCAGGGCUUCAUGAAGCUCUCAAGCGCUCCGGCGACGACGGUUACCCCGUCAUCUCCCUCAAGCACAAGUGCACAACGUCUUGUUGGUUGGUAAUAAUUGAUUUGGAGCGGCCGAGUACUAAUUCCGUAAAUGUAGAGCAAGCUUAAUUAGCUUUCCUUCCAACGAGCCCUAAAUUAACGAAACAACAUCUUCAUUCCAUAACAAUUGAUGCUCUUCCAUGAAUGUGUUGUAUGGAAACAUUAAUACUGGUUCUUCUUAUAUCAGCUCUACUAUUUUGUUAUGGUUGAUAUAUGAUUAUGUAAAAAUUGUUGAUGUGAAAAAUACAAAAUAAGUGCGGACAUUUUUUUAUUAUUGUAAAAAUUAUAUAAAUAGCUAUAUUCUCAUGCUCACAGUCAUAUUGAUAAUCUCACCAGAAGUGAGUGCAUCUUGACCAUCUCAUUUCAUCUUCUCAACCAAACACAAAAUGGAACCAUUUUACUCCGUUCCAUCUCCUCAACCAAACAAAAUUCACAGCCGUUCCAUCUCCUCAACCAAACACCAAACCGGAACCUAUAAGAAUGGAACGGAACGGAAUGGAAUGGAACGGUUCCAUUCCAUUCCACACCACUCUAGAACCAAACACAGCCUAUCUUGAUUCGUGUGAUGUUAUGGUAACAUAUCAGUUACCACAAAUCCAUCUCUUUUUUCAUUUAUUGCCAUGCCAUGUCAUCCAAAAAUGACUAGUUGGCAUCUAUGUUACUACGCUAGCCAGCAACACCAUUAUCCGUCAAAUUAACAAAACGUUGUAGGUACGUGAUCCACGCAGAAUUUAAAUUCGGGUCGCGAGCCUGUCGAUCGGUACGGUUUCUUGUCUCUACGUGAUUAAAUUAGCUGACAUUAAAGUUUGGAUCGAUCGCGAGACUCGUAGUACUACUCGUAGGAAAGAACGUAUUUAUUGUGCGUGAUACUGAAUCCAGUCAUUCAGACCGCGAGCUCAUCAUGGAACAGUACACCAUCCGGGGCCCCUGCCUGUGCCUGCACGCGUUCACUGCAUGAAGUUUGUUGCAGCGCGCGCUGCGCCUUAACUCGCUUGCCGCCAGACCCGGUCAUGAUGGCCCGUCGGCCGUGGAUCGGUCCUGCGUCCAGAGCUAAACAAAAACGUGAGCUCAUUUGCUCUUGCCUGCGCGGCGGCCCGGCCCUAUCGAUCUGUCGUAGAGCGUGCGUGCACCACUGGAUGAAGUGUGGCAUGCAGUUGCUUACUGUCAAAAUGCGUCAUGAUCGAUCGAGCCAUGAGGUAAGCAGACACGAGGAACAAAAUCCGUAGCUGUAAUGUAAUGACUGAUGACCACACAUCAUGGCACAUUCUCAGUCUGGUACUGCGUUCGUACUGCAGAAUUUUGACAUAUCCAUCCCAUUUGUCCCCGGCCCCCUGGCUACGUACGUACUGGACCUCCGGAGCUGGAGUAGCUAGCCAUGUGCAUUGCUUCUCCAAUGCGUAUACAUUGUCAUAGACUGGUAGCUAAUACGGCGGCUGAUAGGUGCGUCCAACGACCGAAGUUCUGAAAACAAGGCCUUAGAUCGAUCUAGCUGCUAGCUAAGCUGCAUACUUGACGCGCAGGGGAAAUUAGCAUAUGUAUGCAGAUCGUCGUACGUGUUUACACCGGCAAAAGCUAGCUAGCGUGCAUGCAGUUCAUCAUGAAACGACCACCAGGACCAGACUAACUAACUUAGAGCUACCGUAGCUACAUGCCAUAUACUAUGUGCACGCACAUGAGUCACGAAAUUGGCCCAUCGCCCCUAGAAUUCAGCACAUUCACGACGGUAUCUGAAUGCAUGGAGCCACCGAGUAUGCAUGUCUUUGAAUGAAUUGAAGCACCAACCGGCCGGCCGGGGCCAGACUAAUUCAAGCCGCGGGGCACUUGCUGCCACUGCGCCGUUCCUGGAUCGCAACCCAACCUUGUCUUGCCUUGCCUUGGGUUUCCAGCUACUCCAGUAAGCUGCAUCCUGACAACUAGGUCCUCAUGACGCCCGGCGCGAGAUCCUGCAGGCUAGCUAGCUGCGGCUUGAUUGAUCCGCAGCCAAAUAUUGGCAGCGCCUGCGUCGAUCUGCUGCAGGCAAGGCAAUGUAGGUUUUAGCACUCAGAUAGUCAGAUGUCAGCAGUUAUUAAGCGUCUCCUCAUUUAUACAUGGGUUUGACGGUUACCACUUGAAUUCGCGCUCACUAGCUAGCUCUGACACUGAAUGGGGGGAGGAAUUUUGGCUGCUCGAUCAGGAGGGGGGUUCACAGCCAGGCUACAGGUUCAGGCUCUCUGUCCCAAAUCCUCGGAUGCAUGCAUGAUUGCCUGCUUGCUUGCUUUGGACCUGCUACGACUAGCAGUAGCGGUUAGGAUGGGGCGCGCAUUGUGCUGCGGUAGGUACAGUAAUAUCUGUAGGUGACACACUCCGCCGCUGCUGAUUUACAGUCCUCUCAACUCCUGCUAGAUCCCCUCUCUAAAUAACUGGCUGUCAAGUUCAACUAUCGAUUUUGACCUGCGUACGUGGGGUGCGUGAUUCCAAGUGUUAUGGGACGAAUUUAAUUGUAGCUUACUACUCCCUCCGUGCCAAAUUAACUGUCGUGGAUUUGCAUAAGAAUCUAUUUCAAUUAAUUCGGGACGGAGGGAGUCCUAUUUCAGUUCAGCUUCUGAAAGUUGAGACACGAAUUAUAAUCCUCAAUUCCUCAUGCAUUUCCGGCCUUUGGGCUGGUAUCCUUGAUCACUUCAUCUCCACCGGAACUGGAGCCCUUCUGUUGUUUUUACCUUGCAUUCUUCUCCCACAUAUCCAGCUUUGAUCUCCAGCUUCUGUGUUGCUUUCGGUAUUGCCAUGCUUCUAGCAUGCAUGGUACCUGCUCUUCUUGUACAGAGCAAUUUUUGACAUGGCUGUUCGUAGUCGUAGCUAUAGUACUGGUACUGUUAGAAUUGACGUAGUAUCAGUAAGUAGAUAACACCUAUACAUGUAUAUAGCGUGUACUCAACUGUAUUGCGCACAUCAAUUAUUGAACCAUGCAUUGGAGCUUGCUCGAAGGGCGCGCGGCAUUGAUUGAAGCCGUUAGAAAACGUUGGUGGCGGUAGCAUAACGGCAUAAAUGUGGAGGUUUGUUGGAAGCAGCCAUGAUUGGGCAUGCUGCAAAGCUCGCGAGAGGCAUGGCGUGGUUGUCAUGUAUGGACAGAUUGGAGACUUUUGAGCAUUGUGUGUGGACCAUGAAUGCAUGUGUGCGUCCUGCCUCCCUGCCUGCCUGCCAAUCCCUCUCCCUUGCCAUUACUCUUGCUUACUCACGCACCCUCUCUCCCUGCACCAAUUGCUUUCUUUCCUACUGAAUCGCAUAUUUUGCACGGACCCUUUCGUUCAGCCCUGGGAGAUAUAUUGUCCAGAGCUCCCCUGCCUUGGCAUUCAGACAACAGCAACCUUGCUCGCUGCUCUAGCUUUGCUGCUAAACAUGGCCACCACGUCGCCGCCCAGGGCCCCCGGCCUGCUGCCUACUUCCGUGCAACCAGAGAGAUUCAGGCUUUCUGGCCAACGUCUUUUUCACUCUAACGAUUCAGUGAAAAACCUGAAAUUUCUACUGUUCGGUAUAGUUACCAUGAAACCGACCGAUAUGCGGUUGGACGCACGCAACGACUGGUGAGGAUAGUAGUAAUAGACCAGCUAGCUAGAACCAAUGAACAGAUUAUUCCGGGUACCUCGGCAGGCUCGGCUGGGCCUCUCUUUCGCCGGAAACAAACGCAAGAUUCUGGUUUGGAUUCAGGGGAUGGGCCGGCCACCGGCCACGUGAACAGAACAGUUCCAUCUUUUUCUGGCAUGAGCAUUGUUUUCCUGUCUCCCCUCUUCUCCUAUAAGUGGUCAAAAUGGAGAGAAGCUUUGGCCUGUACCUAACUAGGCAACUAAGGCAUAGCACAGCGUUUCACUUGCAGAUUGCAUUGAUGGCCUAAAAACACCAGGUUCGCUAGUCCUCAGACCCUUGAAUGUCAUCGUGUUAAUCAAUUUACUCACGAUUGGAUCGUCACGGAGAUCCGUACGUGCCAAUCCUUUUCCAUCGUCUCUAGCGAGGCCACCACAAUGCAAACGGAGGAAGUGCUGAUUAAUUGCGUUAUCAGACAGUGCUAAUUGGUGGGAUGCAUAAUAAUAAAAACUUGCCAGAUCCCAUUAUACUGAGAUGUGUGUGAAUACUUAUCUUACAUCUCGUUUGUCACCUAUCAUUUGCGCCUGAUAUCCUGAAUUUCAUUAUGGAUUACAACAACCAAUUUGCAUAGUUUGGCUGGCACAUAACUGGACACAUGCAUUUAUAAAAUCUGAAAUUUCACAGAAUCACACCCUAUAUCUAACCCCGGAUCUUCUCUAAGAGCCAUCAUUUCUCUGAAUUGUCUCAUUCUACAAAUUAAUGUGCAAAACAACAUGGAUUUUGAAUCUAGAAUUCAAAUUCAACAAAAUGAACAAAAUUUGGAAAUAAGGGUUGCCAAAUGGACAAUUACAGAUCCCCACAGAGAUUCGUUGUUUCUAUAUACCCAAAUACUUCAAGCUCAGCCCAUUACUCUUAUGGAGUACGCCCUCCGAUUUUAAAUUGUUGUCGUUGUUUUAGUUCAAAUUUAUACUAAAACAACGACAACAAUUUAGGAUUGGAGAAAUACUAGCUAGAUAACUGAAAUAUGUUAACUCGAAGUACCAAAAUGAUCAUGGGCGAUCGUAAAAAAAUGAUCAUGGGCGCAUUUUUUCUCACACAUUUUCAGGUUGUGAACUUUAAGAUGAAAUAAAGGCCAAAACAAAUACUCACGGGGCACACAUUAUAUUGCUACCAUGCCACCAUACAGGUUGAACAGAUCCCAUGCUAUCAUCUCCAACCAGAGUUCAUAGAAGUCCUCAUGUCAUGUUGCAGUAGGUACCAACGUAAAUCACUGCCUGAGGGAGGGGGACAGCAAGAUUCAAUUUUGUUUUUCUCUUAGACCCUUUCUUUCUUAUGCAACAAGCUGUGUAUUUUUACAUUUUGCCCCCUUAAUAUUUGUCUGUUCAUGCUUUUUUCCAACCUCCACCCCUGGAUCAGACCAAUGGGACACCUUAUGUAUAGCCUAGUUUAUUCGAAAAAUUGCCUGUUAAACACAAGGUCAUUUCAGCAAUUCAACAUCUACUAACAAACCUGGCUAAUGCUAUGAGAGAUUUCAGCAUUCGCCGGUCAGCCUAUCCCUGUAACCACUUUCCAAACUUAUUGAAAAUAUGACGAGACGGUGGAGAGUUAAAAACAACAAAGAUGACAAAUUUUAAAGCACUUCUAUAUACGAGUGUGCGAUGACAUAUAGCCUGGCUAGCUAACUAGUCUCCAACCAAUUUGAAUUUAUCUGGUGGAAGCCGACGAUUGAUUGAUGAAUGCAAGAGCGGGCGGGAGCGAGAUAAUACGCAUGCAAGUACUACAUACACAUGUGUCUACACUACUCUCGGGAGAAGCAAAUCACCUUUCCAACCCUUCUUUUUUUGGCCGGAUAGAUGUGUUUGGUAGAGACUAGCUAGAGAGGACCCGAUCGACAGGGCAUAUUUACUCAUGUUAGGUAACGAUGCAUGCGCCGGCCGGCCAUGCCUUCCCACGGACACCAGAUCGUUCGCUGCGUCCCGAACGGAGAUAAUCAGGGCAAGAUCGAUAUCUGCACCGGUCUAGUCACACAGUACCGCGCCUGCUGGUAUAUUGCCCAUCCACUGCACACACCUAUCUAUCUAGACUAUCCAUCUAUAUAUGCUUAUAUGCAUAUCUUAUGCAAAGAGGCCGAUCAGCGUCACGUCUCUGAACCACCCAUGUACACGCACAGGCGCACAGCUAUAGCUACCCUAGAGCUAGCUCCCUAGCUAGUUAGAUAGCUCUGGCUUUGCGUCGUUGGAACAAUUUCGGGCGUGUGAUUGCGUGUCGCUUUUCCUCAUUCAGGGCCGGUGCAAUCACCUUUGCUGCAGCUCUACUUGUGGAGGACGAGGAUGGAGUGGCUUGGCCAUAGCUCCUCCUACUAGCAACCUCCAGCGGCGUGCGUGGCCUUUGAAUGCUUGGCUUGGCUUUGGCUCUGCUGGGUGCAGGGUCGUGCCUCCUGGGUAAUAGGGUGUAUCCGCAUCUGUACUAACAUUGUCAAGUGUAUAUAAAUGGGCUUGCAGGUCUGGCACGUACUCAGCUAUCCGGACAGGCUAGGAGCUCAAAACUAUAGAUAAACAAUGAGUAGUCACGGAGACAGCAUUUUAUGGCAAUGGUAUCACAAAAAAAACAUAAUUGCGACUGACUUUCGCAGAUAACCACAAAAACUCUUAAAUAACUCUAUACAUCAAUUUGUGUAUUCUAAAAAAAUACUCUUAAAUAACUCAAAUUUAUCGGUUUAACGUGGUUAGCAGCUAUUUCCGACAGUUUGACCCACAUGUAAGUGACUGCGUGGGAAAAAAUUGGAACCUGACCAAACCAGCUGACUUAUAUAUAGCCCGGUUUAAAAACCUCCUCCAUAUGGUCAUUCUCAUUACUGUCUCUCCCUCGCCGGUCCUUAAGGUCUGGUUUCCGGUCCCCUGCGAGUCGGCAGGAAAGGGACCGAGCCCUCCUUUUGCGAUGGUCCUCGACGACGGGCUUCUCGGUCCGGCCGACGAGGGUGGCAAUUGUUGGCCGGGCUUCGGUAGGUAUGCCACCGGUGAUUGAUCAACGAGAUGAAGGAGAGAAGGAAGAGAGGCAAAAGCCCGACAUGCGUCGGAAGCGGUCAUGGUCAGCCACUAAACCGAAAGAUUUGAGUUUUUAGUACCUUACCAACUUAGGUGAGUUAUGUGAAGUCAUGUGUUGGAACUUUUUUAGUAAUAGAUAAAUUCACUUUUAGUCGAGACAAGAAUUAUGAGAUGACGAGAGCAAUGAAAUUAGUCACACGUGUGAUUUUGUGCUACCUUGUCACAAAAUUUUUGGUGUGAUGUUUACUUUUUCUUUACAAAACAAUUGCGAUUGAUAUGGCACUUAAAAUCGAGUGAACGGAGCCAAGAGCUCAGUUCGCUCUUUCUCUAGAUAAAAAAAAGAUACUACCUAUUUAGCGAAAAUGCAUGUUCAGUGUGAAUUUUGCGAAACUAAUGUGGAUAGCGGUUCAGAUCAAAGGUGCUUCCAGAAGUGUACGCAUUAUCCCACGUGUGUAUUGAAAAAAGGCUGUGACAAUCCAAGCGACUGAUUUUUAAGCAAAAUGUUUAAAUCUUAGCUGAAGUAGCAGAGCCGUCGGAUUAGCAUCUCGACGGCUUCGUAAUCCUUUCUUUCUUUCGUUCUUCCCCUAAAUCAUAAAGCAUGAUCCAGAUUUAACGACCGAGCAAUCAAUUGUCCCUGACUGCAAAUGAGGAUAGCAAAACCGUGAAAAAAAAGAUACAAAGACAAUAUAUACUCGGUGAUACGAUGGAAACUAGGCUGUCAAAAUUAAACAAUGGAAACUAGCACAAAUGGUUUUCUUAUUUUCUUUCCCCCCGCCGGAUAUGCAGGAGUAACAUCGUAGCACUAGCACACAUCAGGCUUGUGCUCCUCUUAUGGAAACACGGGAACCAAGCAGGGAGCUCUCUUUUGGCACAGUAUGGCACCACCGAGUCGACCACCAUCUCCACCAGUGACCAUGCCGCCAAGCAGCUAGCGCUUCGCCCUCCGGUCCAGCCAGCCGCACCCGCACCCGCACGGGCAGCUUCCUUUCUUUCUUUCCCACGGCCUCUCUCUGCCCGCUUUGGCCGCUAGCGAGCGCCUCUUUCCGCGCGAGAGAGACCGGCCGGGGCCGGGGCCGGGUCACGCGCGUACGUAACGUACGUGCUCCAGCAUCAUGCGCCCGGCCGGUACGUCUCCUUCACUGACCCAUUGGCGAUCGAGCGCACGAACGCGCCACUGUGGCAGGAUCAGCAGCACUGCUCACCCACCGGCCCGGUCUGCCUGGCGGAAAAAGAUUCGAUUAAUUGCCCUGAGCCCCUGACCGCCCGGGGGAUCCAAACGUUUGUUGUUCCUUCGAUCGGCUCCCCUCCCUCUAGUACGGAACACAAGUGCACGCACGUACGUACUUACGCGAGAUCGACCGAUGUUGUAGUACUUUACUACAAAGCAAAUACAGCACGACCACUCGUGUAUCAGCAGCGGUACAGCACAGUACGUACGUCUCUGUGCCACUACUUCCUACUGUACGUACGUACUACUACGUGCAACGCACACGUACGUGCUGCGGCUGUAGGGCCUGCAAGAGGGUUGGGUUGAAUUAAUAAUCGUCCGGCCGGGUUUGGACAAGAGCUAGCGUUCGUGCGUGCGUGCGUGCGCGCUCGCUGCCAGGACUGGUUCACAGGCCGCCGCACAGUUUGAAAAGAAAGGUGCCUGUAGUCGUUGCAGCUGGGCUCCUUCAGACAGACAGACAGAGAGACGGGCACACCGGCCGGGCGGAUAGCUUGCUUGCAUGCAUGUUUUGUCAAGGGGAUCAGGGAGUCAAGCAACCACGCCCCGCCCCUGCUGCCCUGCGUACGUGCGCUCUUCAUUUAAGAGUGAGAUUCUGCCUGAUCGAUCCGUCCAUCCCUGGCUUUGCUUAAUCGUUUUGCCUGCCUGUAUUUCCAUGUGCCAGGUACGUACCCAGGUAUUUGAGCAGCUACGAUCUUGCGUUGCAUGCUAGCUUGAUCAACCAAAAAACAUAUCAUUGUACCCGUAUCUGGCAGCAAUAAACAAAAAAUAUAUCUGGCGCAUGUACAUGAACAUUCAGACGUACCGGUUCCUUGCUGCUCACAGAGUGGGAGAGAGAGAAUGGAUGGAUGCGUGUGUUGUGUCCUUGCAAACCAACACACAUGUGGUGAGAUGACAUCUACACGUGCGGUGGGGGCUCUCGAUGCUUUGUUAAACUCGGUGAAAGCCAUGAGCGAUGGCAGGCGGUAGUAGUGGACAGCUGGGACAGUGACAAGCCUAGCGGUGCAGUAAAUAAUAAGAUCUUCUGCACCUCUCGUUUUACCGCACCCAACACACAAGGCUGCCAGCUGGUUCGUAAAUUUCACUGCCCACAUCUCGUCCAUGCAUGCAACAGGAAGAUUAGAUUACGUCGCUCGUCGGUCCUCGACUUGAAAUCUUGAAUACGUAGAGGACAAAACGGCAUGUCGAAUUAAUACGGUGUACCAGCAUGUAUGGGUAGACAGACACGUAUUCAUGAGUGUAUAAAGCAGAGUAUGAUGUUGAUUUCUCUGUACGGUUGGAUGUUCCGACGACCGAUUCCUGAUGAGUUAUAACUUAUACCAUGCCAACGGUUUGCUCCGGCCAACCCGCCGCGCGCGUGCAUGCGCGGUCCCCCAAAAGACCACGCAGCUCGAUCGAUCGCAACCUUAAUUCCUCAUACUGAUAAAUCUCCCUCUCACGCACGGGUUCGUACGGUUGUACCAUGCCAAUUAGGGUUGUGUUAAUGUGCUAUCUACAUCGGGCACACCAGUGCUUCUCCGGUUCGCAGCUGUAGCAGUACUACUCUCUCCGACCCAUAUUAUUUAUCUCAAAUUUGUUCAAAUAUAAAUAUAUCUGUGCUUAAAAAAGUCUGAAUACAUGUAAUAUUUCAUCAAGUAAUUUCGACCGGAGGGAACAGUAAAAGUUUGGCUAGUCUGAAUGAUCGAUGCUAAUCUGAGGACGUUAAUCAUUAUUGGCCUUAACGAGAAUAAUGUACUCCUAUUACACUUGUAUUGGGAGUGGCUUUACUCGGCGGCCCACGCCCGUAGGCACCGGCGGCCGUGCCUCGUCAUCCACGGGCAGGCGCCACGACGCGCAUAAAUAGCUGUCGGCGACCAGCGCGCAUGCACAACACCCCGCCGCGCGCGCAGACGAUCCCUCGCCUCGCCUCGUCUCACCAUCUACGGUCCUCCAGCUAGUAGCUAACCUAUCCAACAGUAAAAGGCAAAGCUCACACUUAGACGGGAGUAAAAAGAGUGCGAGUGAAGUGAGUGAUAGAGAGAGAGGCCUAGUAGCUGAUCUAGCCGUGCGUGGGUUCCUUUUAAAGUAAAACGAGCUUACAAGCUUGUGCUCCCUCCCGUCCAUCUCCUUCCUGCUGCUAGCUAGCUGCUUCCUCUCCUCUCUCCUCCAAGCUCCUUCAACUGGCCAGCCACUCACUAGCUAGCCGUGUCUUAGAUUGGUUGGGCGCAGCAAGAGAGAGUAAGGACUCGUAAUAGGUUAGCUGGGAUCCAUGCCUUGCUCGUCGGUGUCUCCUCCGUGGCUGCUCCGCGUGGCGGCCGAGCAGGCUGCAGCCGCAGCGUCGUCGUCUUCCUCGUCGACCAAGGGCGGCGGGCGCGUGCUCACGGCCACCAUGGACGACACGGGCGCCACCACGGGAGCCGCCGGAGGAUACAACAACAACGGGCAGCAGGAGAGCUGCAGCAGCGGGCAGUCCUCGAGGCAGCAGCAGCAGCUGGCUGCCCGCGGCCACUGGCGCCCCGCCGAGGACGCCAAGCUCCGCGAGCUCGUCGCCCUCUACGGGCCCCAGAACUGGAACCUCAUCGCCGAGAAGCUCGACGGCAGAUCCGGUAUACGCACAUCAUAAACCCCGCCGCGCAUUCCACUGACCCACGUCUGUUUAACUUAUUUAACUUAUAAAGUUUGUUUGAUUGUAAUAUGGGCCGGGCAGGGAAGAGCUGCAGGCUGCGGUGGUUCAACCAGCUGGACCCGCGGAUCAGCAAGCGGCCGUUCAGCGACGAGGAAGAAGAGCGGCUGAUGGGGGCGCACCGGUUCUACGGGAACAAGUGGGCCAUGAUCGCCAGGCUCUUCCCGGGCCGCACCGACAACGCCGUCAAGAACCACUGGCACGUCAUCAUGGCCCGCAAGUACCGCGAGCAGUCCACCGCAUACCGCAGGCGGAAGCUCAACCAGGCCGUCCAGCGGAAGCUCGACUCCUCAUCCUCCUCUUCCGUCCUGCCGUUGUCUACAGCCGCCGCCGGACCAGGAGCCGGGCACGUCGACUUCCAACAGCAGCAGUUCGACUACUCCGCCGGCGCCGAUGGGUUCAGCUUCCGGCACUACUGCUUCCCGCCUUUCCACGGAGGCUCAGGCGCCGCCGCCAUCGCUGCAGCCUCGGUCCAGGAGCCUUCCUUCUGCCUGUUCCCCGGUGAGUAACUGCAUUCGUUCGUUCGUUCGUUCCCGGCUGCUGACACUGACUGGUGGGCUCUCACACAAACUCCCUGCUGAGUGCUGAUCGAUUAUUCUAGCGGACCGAGCUUUGCUCACCGUCCGCUGACAAGCUUUCCCAGGCGCACGCACACGCACA